AUGAAAUGAUUAUUUAAAUGAUAAUGGAUAAGAUUAACGCAGAUUUUAUUGGAUAAAAUCGUCGUCAAUCUUUGUUGUUCAUACAGUUAUCCUCAAAUUUUGCAUGUAAUCUUACCUUAAAAGAAAUU
rnacentral:sRNA from 1 species